rnacentral:rRNA from 1 species
CCUACGGGCGGCUGCAGUGAGGAAUAUUGGUCAAUGGGCGCGAGCCUGAACCAGCCAAGUAGCGUGAAGGAUGACUGCCCUACGGGUUGUAAACUUCUUUUAUAAAGGAAUAAAGUGAGGCACGUGAGCCUUUUUGUAUGUACUUUAUGAAUAAGGAUCGGCUAACUCCGUGCCAGCAGCCGCGGUAAUACGGAGGAUCCGAGCGUUAUCCGGAUUUAUUGGGUUUAAAGGGAGCGUAGAUGGGUUGUUAAGUCAGUUGUGAAAGUUUGCGGCUCAACCGUCAAAUUGCAAUUGAUACUGGCUGUCUUGAGUGCAGUUGAGGUAGGCGGAAUUCGUGGUGUAGCGGUGAAAUGCUUAGAUAUCACGAAGAACUCCGAUUGCGAAGGCAGCUUACUAAACUGCCACUGACAUUGAUGCACGAAAGUGUGGGUAUCAAACAGGAUUAGAUACCCGAGUAGUC